rnacentral:lncRNA from 1 species
CCUCGCCAAGGUCGUUGAAAGAUCGGAUGUUCGCACUGUCCAAGCCCAUGUACCAACGUAGGGCAGCACCGAACAAACUGUCUUGAAAGUAGUGGAUGAGCAAUUGGUCGUUGUCGGUCUGAGUCGACAUUUUCCUGGAAUACAUGACCAGGUGGCUGAGAGGGCAAGUAUUUCCCUUGUACUUUUUAAAGUCAGGGAC